UACGGGGGGGGCAAGCGUUGCUCGGAAUUACUGGGCGUAAAGGGCCCGUAGGCGGCCAACUAAGUCGGAUGUGAAAUCCCCAGGCUCAACUUGGGAACUGCAUCCGAUACUGGAUGGCUUGAAUUCGGGAGAGGGAUGCAGAAUUCCAGGUGUAGCGGUGAAAUGCGUAGAUAUCUGGAGGAAUACCGGUGGCGAAGGCGGCAUCCUGGACCGACAUUGACGCUGAACGGCGAAAGCUAGGGGAGCAAACGGG
rnacentral:rRNA from 1 species